rnacentral:rRNA from 1 species
CAUAAGCGGAGGAAAAGAAACCAACAGGGAUUGCCUUAGUAGCGGCGAGUGAAGCGGCAAAAGCUCAAAUUUGAAAUCUGGCACUUUCAGUGUCCGAGUUGUAAUUUGAAGAAGGUAUCUUUGGGUCUGGCUCUUGUCUAUGUUUCUUGGAACAGAACGUCACAGAGGGUGAGAAUCCCGUGCGAUGAGAUGUCCCAGACCUAUGUAAAGUUCCUUCGAAGAGUCGAGUUGUUUGGGAAUGCAGCUCUAAGUGGGUGGUAAAUUCCAUCUAAAGCUAAAUAUUGGCGAGAGACCGAUAGCGAACAAGUACAGUGAUGGAAAGAUGAAAAGAACUUUGAAAAGAGAGUGAAAAAGUACGUGAAAUUGUUGAAAGGGAAGGGCUUGAGAUCAGACUUGGUAUUUUGUAUGUUACUCUCUCGGGGGUGGCCUCUACAGUUUACCGGGCCAGCAUCAGUUUGAGCGGUAGGAUAAGUGCAAAGAAAUGUGGCACUGCUUCGGUAGUGUGUUAUAGUCUUUGUCGAUACUGCCAGCUUAGACUGAGGACUGCGGCUUCGGCCUAGGAUGUUGGCAUAAU